rnacentral:rRNA from 1 species
AGUGAACGCUGGCGGUAGGCCUAACACAUGCAAGUCGAACGGCAGCACAGUAAGAGCUUGCUCUUACGGGUGGCGAGUGGCGGACGGGUGAGGAAUACAUCGGAAUCUACUUUUUCGUGGGGGAUAACGUAGGGAAACUUACGCUAAUACCGCAUACGACCUACGGGUGAAAGCAGGGGAUCUUCGGACCUUGCGCGAUUGAAUGAGCCGAUGUCGGAUUAGCUAGUUGGCGGGGUAAAGGCCCACCAAGGCGACGAUCCGUAGCUGGUCUGAGAGGAUGAUCAACCACACUGGAACUGAGACACGGUCCAGACUCCUACGGGAGGCAGCAGUGGGGAAUAUUGGACAAUGGGUGCAAGCCUGAUCCAGCCAUACCGCGUGGGUGAAGAAGGCCUUCGGGUUGUAAAGCCCUUUUGUUGGGAAAGAAAAGCAGCAGGUUAAUACCCCGCUGUUCUGACGGUACCCAAAGAAUAAGCACCGGCUAACUUCGUG